CGCACUUGGACCUGCCAGGUUUAACCGACUACACACACCAUAGACACUCCCAGGGUUUCCUGGGGAUAACUGCCCUUCCUCCACAGGCCCUGCAGCCCGCCGCCUCAUACUAAGCACACAGAGGCGUCUGGGGCCUGCAUGAGUCUGAACCGCCAGAGGCAAGCAGGAAAUGGGACAUAUAGAGUGACUGUCAGCAGGGGCUUGGGACCCAAAAGGGGAUGCUUUUCACAGCCAACCAGAAAAUGAACUUAAAGCCCUCAAUCCCUGAGCCAUUCUUGUUUGUCUUGUUUUCUCUUGAGACAGGGUCUCACUCUGCCACCCAGGCUGGAAUGCAGUGGUGAGAUCACGGCUCACUGCAGCCUCAACCUCCCAGGCUCAAGCGAUCCUCCCACCUCAGCCUCCCGAGGAGACUAAAGUACUUAACUAGAGACGGGGACUACAGGCACAUGCCCCCAUGCCCGGCUAAUGUUUUUAUUCUUUUAUAGAGAUGGGGUCUCACUAUGUUGCUCAGGCUGGUCCUGAACUCCUGGGCUCAAGCAGUCCUCCCACCUUGGCAUCCCAAAUUGCUGGCAUUACAGGCAGGAGCCACCACGCCCAACCUCCUUGGCCAUUCUUGCUAAUUAGGGCUUUGUGUCAUUUUUUCCCCUUCUAAGUUGGAGGGAACUAGCAGGCCCUGGUGCAGUGAGUGACUGAGUUUAGCUCAAGCGCACACUGGUAUGUUCAAGGCCAAGAGCUGUUUGCAUUCAUUAUUUUAACAGACAUUUGA
rnacentral:lncRNA from 10 species